UACGGGGGGAGCAAGCGUUGUUCGGAUUUACUGGGCGUAAAGGGCGCGUAGGCGGCCACCGCAAGUCGACUGUGAAAUCUCCGGGCUUAACCCGGAAAGGUCAGCCGAUACUGCGGGGCUAGAGUGCAGAAGGGGCAACUGGAAUUCUCGGUGUAGCGGUGAAAUGCGUAGAUAUCGAGAGGAACACCUGCGGCGAAGGCGGGUUGCUGGGCUG
rnacentral:rRNA from 1 species